AUUCAUCUUCAGGGGCAGGGCGUAAAUCCCGACCGGUGGUAAAGUCCACGAGCGAAAUUUUUAUUUUGCUGAACUGGUGUGAUUCCAGUACCGACAGUAUAGUCUGGUAUAAAGAAGAUGGAG
rnacentral:ncRNA from 2 species